UCCAUUUUCGGGCUGAAAGAAAAAAAAAAAGAGAGAAAGAAAAAGGGAGAGAGCUCGAGGAAGAAGAAGAAACCUUUUGCGGCACCGUUCAACGCGUUUUUGAGUCGAAUGGGUUUAAGGAAUUGAAUCUAAGUUUUAUGGUACUGGAGAUCUAGGAAGUAAAUAAAUUGUAACUCGCCCUCAUUCUAGAACGGGAAAUUUAGCAAAUUGAUACAAGAUGAUGAUGCCAUAAUAAUGACUUCUCCUAUCAAAAGCAAAAGCAGGGGUAGUAAUAAGUCAGCAAGCACAACACAACAAGGAUUUUGAGAACCCAAGGAGGAUGUGUGAACAAGCUAAGAGAGCCAUGAGUAACCAGCAUCAAGUGCAUGUUGAGAUUGAGUGCUUGGAUCUCUCUGUACCACUUACUCGUGCUUGUCUCGAAGAAACUGAAGAAUGAUUUAUUUUAUUCAAGAAGCACCAUGGGACCUGCGAAGAACUAGGAUUCCCAAGGUUCAACAACUCCACAAAGAUCCCAGCACAGGCGUCAACCCAGAUGAGGCCCCGUGUCUUAUGGUGCUGCUGUAUAACAAAGAAGAAGGUAUCUUGAGCUGACAGGGUGGUGAUGAAACCCAAGGUACUUGAUUAGUGACAUGGCAAGUGAGAAGGCAGAGAAGGUCACUAUCACAGAUGAGAAAGGUCAUUUGAACCAAGAGGAAAUUGAACGGAUGGUUAAAAGAGGCAGAGGAUUAUUUCUCAGCGGAAGAUAAUAAGGUCAAGGUGACAUGUUGUUUUGUUUAAACACUCAAUACUGUGAGUCUAGAAUCCAAACUGAGCUAUCUGUAACUCUCAAUUGGUAAAACUUGCCCGACUAUUUUGAAGCUCAGGAAAGACGAGCUACACCCUCAGCUGCUCGAACUACCUUCUAGGUAGCUGCUGCGGGCAGUAAGAGCUUUGUAUCAGUCCUCCACUCCAUAAUCUUGCAACAGAGCAAAGAAUGCAAUCUGUAAAAAGAAAUCGGACCAACUAAAGAAAAGGUUGGAAGAGGAAUCAAACACGUUAUACGAGAUGGAGAAGCAAUCUAAAAACCACUCCACCACAGAUGCAGAUCCCAGCUUGAGUCCUGGCCACCUAUUACUAAUCAAAUGCACAAGAAUUGAAGCUUUUAGGAAGAAAGUGGAUAAGGGGAAAGCUAUAUAUCUGCACCUGGUUCCAGGUAAGCUUUUAUAACUAAAAAAUAGUAACGAUCUGUAGACCGUGCAUCUUGUAAGGCUCUUGGUAUUUGAAGAACGCAAUUGGGAGAAGAGAUUCUCAAGGAAGUAGAAGCUGUUUGCAACCCAAUAUUUGACUAGAGAGAGGACAUUGUGAAGAGAACAUAGAAGAUUCGAGGAUGAAAUAAAGACAUACCACCUGGUAGCUGCUGAGGUCAUUAAGAGAUUUGUAGCAGUCCUCUACUCCAUAGUCUUGCAACAGAGCAAAGAAUGCAAUCUGCAAAAAGAAAUCCAACCAACUGGAGAAAAGGUUGGAAAAGAAAUCAAACAUGUUAUACGAGAUGGAGAAGCAAUCUAAAACAACUCCACCACAGAUGCAGAUCCCAGCUUGAGUCCUGGCCACCCAUUACCAAUCAAAUGCGCAAUAAUUGGAGCUUUUAGGAAGAAAGUGGACAAGAGCUAAAUAUCUGCACCUGGUUCCAGGUAAGCUUUUAUAACCGACAAAUAGUAACGAUCUGUAGAGCGUGCAUCUUGUAUUUAAAGAUAUCAAGGCUCUUGGUAUUUGAAGAAUGCAACCGGGAGAAGAGAUUCUCAAGGAAGUAGAAGCUGUUUGCAACCCAAUAUUGACUAGAGAUAGGACAUUGUGAAGAGAACAUAGAAGAUUCGAGGAUGAAAUAAAGACAUACCAGGCUAUAUGAUUUUAUUGUUCUGCAAAAAAAAAUAAGCACUGUAAUUUUAGCACACAGUAAACUUUUGUUCUCUUUAUUCCCCUUUUGGGUAUUUCUUUUUUCUUGGUCUUGUAUCACUCAGCAACCACAACAGUAGACAAGAUAAUGUAUACAUAUCUUAGUAGAAAAAAUCCAGAAGAAUUUAGUUUUUAUAUUCG